UCCCAUAUUGUCUAGUGGUUAGGAUACCUGGCUCUCACCAAGGAGGCCCGGUUUCAAUUCCCGGUAUGGGAA
rfam:Daphnia pulex DAPPTscaffold_390_Cont9285, whole genome shotgun sequence.